UUUUCUCGUUUUUUUCCAGUACGACACAUAAAAUUUAUGAGUUUACAAGCUCCUAGCGGUGCUUUCAAAAAGUG
ensembl:ncRNA F37E3.4 ncRNA